rnacentral:rRNA from 1 species
CUACGGGCGGCAGCAGUGGGGAAUAUUGGACAAUGGGGGAAACCCUGAUCCAGCAAUGCCGCGUGUGUGAAGAAGGCCUGCGGGUUGUAAAGCACUUUCGGUUGGGAGGACUGCUUCUAGCACUAAUAUUGUUGGAAGUUGACGUUACCUUCAGAAGAAGCACCGGCUAACUCCGUGCCAGCAGCCGCGGUAAUACGGAGGGUGCAAGCGUGAAUGCGGAAUUACUGGGCGUAAAGCGCGCGUAGGCGGCUAGAUCAGUCGGGUGUGAAAGCCCCGGGCUUAACCUGGGAACUGCAUCCGAUACUGUCUAGCUUGAGUACAGGAGAGGAGAGUGGAAUUCCACAUGUAGCGGUGAAAUGCGUAGAUAUGUGGAGGAACACCAAUGGCGAAGGCAGCUCUCUGGCCUGAUACUGACGCUGAGGUGCGAAAGCGUGGGGAGCAAACAGGAUUAGAUACCCUCGUAGUC